CUACAAUGUAAAGUAGUACGUGUACAGCCUGUAUAAAAGUGUACAUUUGCUGUCCCCUCAAAAUAACUCAACACACAGCCAUUAAUGUCUAAACUGUUGGCAACAAAAGUAAGUACUUUAACUUACCCCAUUACGAGGAAGAAAAGAAGAUAGAGCAAGAGAGAGGAAAAAACAAACAAGCUACGACCCACUGUGAGAGUGGUGUUUGGCUUUUGC